CGUGGGGAGGAGCUUGCUCCACCCUGACGACGAGUGGCGAACGGGUGAGUAAUACAUCGGAACGUGUCCGCUCGUGGGGGACAACCAGCCGAAAGGUUGGCUAAUACCGCAUGAGUUCUACGGAAGAAAGAGGGGGGCCCGCAAGGGCCUCUCGCGAGCGGAGCGGCCGAUGACUGAUUAGCCAGUUGGUGAGGUAACGGCUCACCAAAGCAACGAUCAGUAGCUGGUCUGAGAGGACGACCAGCCACACUGGGACUGAGACACGGCCCAGACUCCUACGGGAGGCAGCAGUGGGGAAUUUUGGACAAUGGGCGCAAGCCUGAUCCAGCUAUUCCGCGUGUGGGAUGAAGGCCCUCGGGUUGUAAACCACUUUUGUAGAGAACGAAAAGACACCAUCGAAUAAAUGGUGUUGCUGACGGUACUCUAAGAAUAAGCACCGGCUAACUACGUGCCAGCAGCCGCGGUAAUACGUAGGGUGCGAGCGUUAAUCGGAAUUACUGGGCGUAAAGGGUGCGCAGGCGGUCGAGUAAGACAGAUGUGAAAUCCCCGAGCUUAACUCGGGAAUGGCAUAUGUGACUGCUCGACUAGAGUGUGUCAGAGGGAGGUGGAAUUCUACGUGUAGCAGUGAAAUGCGUAGAUAUGUGGAAGAACACCGAUGGCGAA
rnacentral:rRNA from 1 species